rnacentral:sRNA from 1 species
GCUGGGUGUGGUGGUGCACACCUGUAAUCCUUCAGCUGGGGAGGCUGAGGCAGGAGGACCUCGAGUUCCAAGCCAGCCUCAGCAGAAGUGAGGCCCUCAGCAACUCAGUGAGACCCUGUCUCUA